ACUAACUAGAAGUAUUUUAUAUAAAAUAUCACGAAGACGUUUGAGCUAUAUAUAUAUGUCUUUAGGAUACUAUAUUACGUAGUAAAGUAAUUGUUAAAUAUUUUUAUAGGGGUGAUAGGCCUGUCAAAUUCGUGGAUAACUUGAUACCGGCGAAAAAUAUUAAGUAUUAAGCUAUACCUUAAAAGUUAAGCUUUAAGGUAAGAAUCAAUAAAGGAUUAUAUAAAUAUUACAGUUUAACAGCUAAUUAAUAUUACUCUAAAUAUUAUUUUCUGGCAAUUAUUUUUAAUAUGCGGUUAUAAAUAUUUAAAUAUAUUAUUAAUAAUGUUAGUAUAAGUAGUAUUUUAAAAUAACUGAAAUGAACUCGGCAAACAAUUUUUCAACUGUUUAUCAAAAACAUAACUAUAUGGUGUUAUAUAUAGCUAUUCCUGCUCAAUGAUUUUAAAUAGCCGCAGUACCCUGACUGUGCAAAGGUAGCAUAAUCAGUUGGCUUUUAAUUGGAGUCUGGCAUGAACGGAUUUCUGGAAAAUAACUGUAUCUUAUUUAUUUACUUGAAAUUAAUUUGUAAGUGAAAAUACUUACAUCUUUAGAAAGGACGAGAAGACCCUAGAAAUUUGCAUAUUUUGUUGGGGCGACAGAAUUACAAUUAACUAAUUUGAAUAAACGUGGCGUUAAUACAGUUCGAUUAAAUUACUCUAGGGAUAACAGCAUAAUUUAAAUAGUUUGUGACCUCGAUGUUGGACUAGGAUAUUAAUGGUUUAGAAGACUUUUAAUAACGCUCUGUUCGAGCAAAAUUUCCUACGUGAUCUGAGUUCAGACCGG
rnacentral:rRNA from 1 species